AUACGUAGGGGGCGAGCGUUGUCCGGAAUGAUUGGGCGUAAAGGGCGCGUAGGCGGCGCGGUAAGUCUGGAGUGAAAGUCCUGCUUUCAAGGUGGGAAUUGCUUUGGAUACUGCCGCGCUUGAGUGCAGGAGAGGUUAUCGGAAUUCCCGGUGUAGCGGUGAAAUGCGUAGAGAUCGGGAGGAACACCAGUGGCGAAGGCGGGUAACUGGACUGCAACUGACGCUGAGGCGCGAAAGUGUGGGGAGCAAACAGGAUUGGAUACCCUGGUAGUCCACACUGUAAACGAUGAAUGCUAGGUGUAAGAGGUAUCGACCCCUUUUGUGCCGGAGUCAACACAAUAAGCAUUCCGCCUGGGGAGUACGGCCGCAAGGUUGAAACUUAAAGGAAUUGACGGGG
rnacentral:rRNA from 1 species